GAAGGGGGCUAGCGUUGCUCGGAAUCACUGGGGCGUAAAGGGGCGCGUAGGCGGCUGAUUUAGUCGAGGGUGAAAGCCUGUGGCUCAACCACAGAAUUGCCUUCGAUACUGGUUGGCUUGAGACCGGAAGAGGACAGCGGAACUGCGAGUGUAGAGGUGAAAUUCGUAGAUAUUCGCAAGAACACCAGUGGCGAAGGCGGCUGUCUGGUCCGGUUCUGACGCUGAGGCGCGAAAGCGUGGGGAGCAAACAGGAUUAGAUACCCUGGUAGUCCACGCUGUAAACGAUGAAUGCUAGCCGUUGGUCUGCAUGCAGGUCAGUGGCGCCGCUAACGCAUUAAGCAUUCCGCCUGGGGAGUACGGUCGCAAGAUUA
rnacentral:rRNA from 1 species